rnacentral:rRNA from 1 species
GAUCAUGGCUCAGGAUGAAACGCUAGCGGCAGGCUUAAUACAUGCAAGUCGUGGGGCAGCAGGUUUGUAGCAAUACAGAUGCUGGCGACCGGCAAACGGGUGCGGAACACGUACAGAACCUUCCUUUGAGCGGGGAAUAGCCCAGAGAAAUUUGGAUUAAUACCCCAUAGUAUAAUGAAGUGGCAUCACUUUAUUAUUAAAGAUUUAUCACUCGAAGAUGGCUGUGCGGCUGAUUAGGUAGUUGGCGGGGUAAAGGCCCACCAAGCCUGCGAUCAGUAACUGGUGUGAGAGCACGACCAGUCACACGGGCACUGAGACACGGGCCCGACUCCUACGGGAGGCAGCAGUAAGGAAUAUUGGUCAAUGGAGGCAACUCUGAACCAGCCAUGCCGCGUGGAGGAUGAAGGUCCUCUGGAUUGUAAACUUCUUUUAUAUGGGACGAAAAAAGGCUUUUCUAAGUCGUCUGACGGUACCAUAUGAAUAAGCACCGGCUAACUCCGUG